rnacentral:rRNA from 1 species
GAUGAACGCUAGCGGCAGGCCUAAUACAUGCAAGUCGAACGGGACUUAGUAGCAAUACUAAGUUCAGUGGCGCACGGGUGCGUAACGCGUAUGCAACCUACCUUAAACUGGGGGAUAGCCUUCCGAAAGGGAGAUUAAUACCGCAUAAUAUCACUUGAUGGCAUCUGAAGGUGAUUAAAGAUUUAUUGGUUUAAGAUGGGCAUGCGUGCCAUUAGCUAGUUGGUAGUGUAACGGACUACCAAGGCGACGAUGGCUAGGGGUUCUGAGAGGAUGAUCCCCCACACUGGUACUGAGAUACGGACCAGACUCCUACGGGAGGCAGCAGUAGGGAAUAUUGGGCAAUGGACGGAAGUCUGACCCAGCCAUGCCGCGUGCAGGAAGAAGGCCUUCUGGGUUGUAAACUGCUUUUAUCUAGGAAGAAAACACCCAUG